rnacentral:misc_RNA from 1 species
GAUGAAGAACGUAGCGAAAUGCGAUAAGUAAUGUGAAUUGCAGAAUUCAGUGAAUCAUCGAAUCUUUGAACGCACAUUGCGCCCCCUGGUAUUCCGGGGGGCAUGCCUGUCCGAGCGUCAUUACAACCCUCAAGCUCAGCUUGGUGUUGGGCCCCGCCGCCCCGGCGGGCCCUAAAGUCAGUGGCGGUGCCGUCCGGCUCCGAGCGUAGUAAUUCUUCUCGCUCUGGAGGUCCGGUCGUGUGCUCGCCAGCAACCCCCAAUUUUUUUCAGGUUGACCUCGGAUCAGGUAGGGAUACCCGCUGAACUUAAGCAUAUCAAUACGGAGGA